rnacentral:rRNA from 1 species
GACAGAGGGUGCGAGCGUUGUCCGGAUUUAUUGGGCGUAAAGAGCGUGUAGGCGGCCAGGUAGGUCGGUUGUGAAAACUAGAGGCUCAACCUCUAGACGUCGACCGAAACCACUUGGCUAGAGUCCGGAAGAGGAGAGUGGAAUUCCUGGUGUAGCGGUGAAAUGCGCAGAUAUCAGGAAGAACACCCGUGGCGAAGGCGGCUCUCUGGGACGGUACUGACGCUGAGACGCGAAAGCGUGGGGAGCGAACAGG